rnacentral:lncRNA from 1 species
GCGUUGUUAGACACGCGAGUCUGAAGCGUCCCACGCAGCCUCUGAUCUAAUUCUACUGACGGUAUAAUCACCUUUGGUCCCGCAAAGCCAGCGAACCCAGGCUGACCGGGUUCACAGUCGCACUCUGUCGGCCCCUCCUGCCCGAGCGCUGCGUCAUCACCAGACUCCUCCGAGGAGUCCGGUCCUGCUGGAGGAUACUUGUACGGGACCUGAAACACAACACUAUUGCAUCAUGGGAAGUGUGAACACACACUGUGUGUUAUGCACCUCUUUCUCUCUCACUGACUUGAUAUUUACUGCGCACCUUAAAAGCCCUUCAUGGUUUCAUGUUAGACGUGUCACCGUGGUAUUCCAUGUAUGCAGCUUCACUGAGCCGGUGCCGUUUGAAUAACACACUUCAGGCCGUUCUUGUAAAACAUUAUUAUAUGCACAAACCUUGAAUCCACCAGAUAAUCAAGUGAUAACAGCUGUUUGUACUUUGUGUAAAGAACUCCCACAGCUCCCACAGACCUGCAUGGUCUCUGUGUCCUCCUUGGCGUAGUGGGACUCGGCCGUGGUGGCGUAGGGGAAGGCGUCCGCGGUGAUCAUGGUGACCUGGGUGGGUUCAAGGCCGUAGGGGUCGUAUUCCCUCUCCCCGGACCUCGCGUCCUCGUCGUAGCUGUGAGUCGGCUCCGGUGGAUACUCUGAUGGCACAGAGGAGACUGUUAAACGCACAAUGAGUAAUGUUCUGCCACGAGGAGUCUUAUCCACAGUCUCUCCGCAUGAGGGGAUACAACGGCAUUAUGGACCUCUCCCACCUGAGUGGUGUCCAGAAUAUUCCUCCUGGCAGAGAGACGAGACGACACACAUGAAGACGAGCAGCGCCGAGAGGAGAGACGCCUGCAGGGAAACACCUUCAUCAAAUAUCUGAAAACAAUCUGUGUGAAGACAACACGGCAGGAGUUACCCCCCCCCCCCCCCCACAGUAACACAAUGGAGAUGAAGUUAAGUCCUGACUAACUCCACAAUGAUGUCAUCGUGUUCAGCUGAUGAUCUAAGAGUUAGAGUUAGUUUCUUCUUUACUUUAAUGUAUUUAUAUAUAUGUAUAUCUUUUGAUUUAUUAUGAUGUAUAUAUAUUUGUAUUCUGUGUUCGUCACUAUAUACUCUUAUUGUUCUUAUUUAGUUGGAGAAUGUAAAAUAUGACUGGAACAUCGCACUUGAUAAAAGAAAAACAUAAAAACUAAAUAAAAUAAAAGCUUAUGGAGAGAAAUAGAAAAGAAUAAAAUGUAUUACCUAUUGUCAUAUUCAAUAUUUCUUUAUUAUUUAUUGAGUCAUGUAUUUAAUAUAUGUGCAGCUGCCGUGCUACAUAUUUAUAAUAUGUAAAUGAAACAUAAUACACAUGAAAU